UACAGAGACUGCAAGCGUUAUUCGGAUUCACUGGGCGUAAAGGGUGCGCAGGCGGCCGUGUGUGUCAGGUGUGAAAGCCCGGAGCUUAACUCCGGAAUUGCGCCUGAAACUACAUGGCUAGAGCAUUGGAGAGGGUAGCGGAAUUCACGGUGUAGCAGUGAAAUGCGUAGAUAUCGUGAGGAACACCAGAGGCGAAGGCGGCUACCUGGGACAAUUGCUGACGCUCAGGCACGAAAGCGUGGGGAGCAAAAGGG
rnacentral:rRNA from 1 species